rnacentral:ncRNA from 1 species
AAAGAGUUCUCCGUUAAAAAAAUCUCACUCUUCAAGUAAUUGGUGGACCGGUUGUUAUGCCAAUAGCAGCGCCGGGUAGCUAAGUUGGUAUGGAAGAACUGCUGAAAGCAUCUAAGCGGGCAAAAUCUU